UACGAAGGGGGCUAGCGUUGUUCGGAAUUACUGGGCGUAAAGGGCGCGUAGGCGGCGUGUCAAGUCAGGCGUGAAAGCCCCGGGCUCAACCCGGGAGGGUCGUGGCGAACUGGGAGGCUUGAGGCCGGUAGAGGUGGGUGGAACUCCUGGUGGAGUGGUGAAAUGCGUAGAGAUCAGGAAGAACACCCGUGGCGAAGGCGGCCCACUGGGCCGGUACUGACGCUGAGGCACGAAGGCGUGGGGAGCGAACGGG
rnacentral:rRNA from 1 species